AUCUGGGGUCAUCAUCUCUGGUUGGAGCUCCAGAGUCCGCACACAUCCACACCCACAUCCGGACCGUUAUCUCGGUUCCGGGGAACUUCCCCCUGCUGGCCUGAAGGUGGCCAACAGAUAGUGGGCCGGGAGGAGCCUUCCUGCCUGUUACACGAUUACUCACCAGCGGCAGUUACUGGUGACUGGCCAGCACUGCUGUCCAGCCCUGCCCAGCCUGCCCUACCUCUUGGAACUUAUCUCCUGGGGCUGGCCCAGCCGUCCUCACUGCAGAACAAACUUUGCAGGCACCUUACAGGGACUCCUCUCAAAGUCCACAGCCAGCCCUAGGGUAUAAGGAUUCACGCUGAGGGGUGUUAACUUUAUGUAAUGAGCAUCUUUGCUGCUCUUACUUCAAGAGGUGAAGAGAAAUGGAAGAAAGCGUGUGAGGACACGGCAGAGGAGGCUAAGAUCUGGGCUGUCCCCAGGCCGCGUCAGGGCCAUGGAGGAGCUACAAUCUGGACAGAGUUGAAGCAAGAACAGGGUAUUGACAAGGAAGACCUACAGGUCAAGGUCUCCCAGGCAGGAAGAGGCAGAGCUAAGUCUGAAUCCAGUGCCACUUCCAUGCACUGGGCACCCUCGCCAGUUCCCCCACCACGUGGCUGAGAGGUGGAGCCCCACUGGACCCUGAGCUGCUCCUCCUGGCAGCUCCCACCCCAGCAACCCCAGGCUGUGGUCAGGGCUCUUCCUUACCCCAUGGGGGUGGGGGGUCUCAGGCUCCCCUUGCAUCCCCCUGCAGGAUCCUGGCUGCUCUCAAUCUCACAGGAAGCCUCAGUUUGCUAACUUGUCAAAUGGGAGUUAGAAGAAACUGAUUUUCCUGCUGUUUUUGUUGAUAUUUGCCAAGAUCUGAGGU